AUUUGAGCUCUGAGCCAAUAGCAUAUUUGAGGAUGCAUCAAUUCUCCUUGAAUGAGCAGACACAUCAAUAGCACUUCGCAUACAUGGUUGAAGCGAGGACGCACCAUUAGUGUACACUUGAGAUAAAUUUGCAUUAACAGUCUGGUGCACAUUCUCAGGCUUGACAUGAGGUCCAGCAUGAUCUCUUGCUUGACAUGUUGAGUUCGGUGGAAUUUGACGAAUCUGAGAUCCAUUAGGGAUUGGUCGUGUUGGAAUCAUCUGCAUUGCCUCAACCUGUCUCUCAAGCAAAUCAUUGAAUCUCUCUAUCUGAUCCUUCACCAUCAACCGUACAUGAUAUGCCCUGAAAAAUUCUUGGUUUUCUUCUUCAAGCUUCUGCCAUACAAGCUCAGUGAAACCAGGCUCAAUUUUUGCUUGAUCUAAGAGGGUUCUGAUAACUUCCUCCUGGUUCAUGUAAAGCUGUAGACAUCUUUCUAUAAGAUUUUGCACCAGUUGUAUAUCUUGACGUGAUAUCUUCUUAGCUUCCCCCUCAGACAUUUCAAUCUUUCAAUACUGAAAUAUAAUCCGUUCACCGGAAACAAAACAACCGUUGACAACUAUCAGCCGGUGGCGUCAACUAGGUAAAUCGCCGGCGCCGAUCCUCCGAUUUCG
rnacentral:misc_RNA from 1 species